GACGAACGCUGGCGGCGUGCUUAACACAUGCAAGUCGAACGGUGAAGCGCCUUCCUUUUUGGUGGGUGUGGAUGAGUGGCGAACGGGUGAGUAACACGUGAGUAACCUGCCCCCUUCUUCUGGAUAACCGCAUGAAAGUGUGGCUAAUACGGGAUAUUCUGGGUCUGUCGCAUGAUGGGUCUGGGAAAGAUUUUGUUUCGGUGGGGGAUGGGCUCGCGGCCUAUCAGCUUGUUGGUGGGGUGAUGGCCUACCAAGGCGGUGACGGGUAGCCGGCCUGAGAGGGUGGGCGGCCGGACUGGAAGGGAGAGACGGCCCAGCCUCCUACGGGAGGCAGCAGUAGGGAGUGAUGCGCAAAGGGCGGGAGCCGGCCGGAGCAACGCCGCGUGAGUGAGGAAGGGCGUCGGUUCGUUUAGAACUGUUAUUCGGGAAGAAAAAAUGUCUACGUAAGUGUGGGGGGGUUGACGGUACCUAAUAAGAAAGCCCCGGCUAAAUACGUG
rnacentral:rRNA from 1 species